rnacentral:rRNA from 1 species
AUUAAAGUUGUUGCAGUUAAAAAGCUCGUAGUCGGAUGUCGGGCUCGGGCAAGCUGUCGGCCUUUGGUCGGACGGCAGGCUCGGGUCUUUCUGCCUGAGGAACCCGGUUGCUUUAACGAGCUGCCGGUGGACGCAGGUCGUUUACUUUGAAAAAAUUAGAGUGUUCAAAGCAGGCUAGCGCUUGAAUACAUUAGCAUGGAAUAAUGGAAUAGGACUUUGGUGCUAUUUUGCUGGUUUAUGGGACCGAAGUAAUGAUUAACAGGGACAGUUGGGGCCGUUUAUAUUUCGUUGUCAGAGGUGAAAUUCUUGGAUUUACGAAAGAUAAACUUCUGCGAAAGCAUUCGGCAAGGAUGUUUUCAUUGAUCAAGAACGAAAGUUAGGGGAUCGAAGACGAUCAGAUACCGUCGUAGUCUUAACCAUAAACUAUGCCGACUAGGGAUCAGUGGAUGUCGAUUUGCGACUCCAUUGGCACCUUGUGAGAAAUCAAAGUUUUUGGGUUCCGGGGGGAGUAUGGUCGCAAGGCUGAAACUUAAAGGAAUUGACGG